AUGAUAUUGAAUUGUAGCUUAUACGACACGUUUGUCGGUUUAUCAUAGCAGUGCCAUCUAUUGAUUACUUACUCAAUCCAGUCGAAAAGUAUCGACAUCUGUUAGGAUCUUUUGGAUUUACAGGUAAUUGGAUGGUGGGGUACAAUAAAUUGGAGACCAGACGGGACUUACAGUUGGUUAUGUAGUAGACAUAAUGAAAGCCUUGAGGGGUGUAGUGUGCAAACCAAGUGUACUCCAAGAACUGGGUUACUUGGUACCUAUAGGAUAUGUUAUUGGCAAGGUUAUUUGCGAUACCAAGGUCAAAGAACCAGUCUGUUGCACAGAUCCCCGUCAUCCAGGACGUUGCGACUACUGAAUGCUGACUCCGCACUAUUGAUAUAUUUAUAUGUUCGCAGAGCGAAUUCACAGUAGCGAUAUUGUUGGUUGCCUGGAAGAAAUCGCUCGA